rnacentral:ncRNA from 1 species
AUGUCAACUCAUCACUUCCUGGGGUUGAAGGUCCCAGGGGUUUGUUUUGUUCGCUAAUUUAAUUGGCACGUGAGUUGGAUUUAGAAUAUGGUAAGGCAAUUC